AGUUGAAUCCUGUUUUAAGUCCUCUCUUCAUCUAUAUUAAUAGAAGCGAUCAUCUCCUGUGGGUGUGUGAACUUUCCAGCAGACUGUGAGAGCGUGGUGUUGCAGUAUCUUUCAGAGACAGGAACGGGGACGGGGACCGGGACGGGCGGGCGGGCUGCUACACUGGGAAGCCGGGAGCAGGGAGGACUUGGCAUCUCCCGCUGCAUUUGAAUUGUGCACCAGUUCUGCCCAU